rnacentral:antisense_RNA from 2 species
CUUCACCGAGCCGAUCCACAGCGGAUCGGCCGCGGACCGGCCGUGGCCGUAGGUCGCCAGCAGCGCCUCGGCCUC